rnacentral:tRNA from 1 species
AGGGCAGUGGCUCAAUUGGUAGAGCACCGGUCUCCAAAACCGGCGGUUGGGGGUUCAAGUCCCUCCUGCCCUG